rfam:Desulfotomaculum sp. 46_296 MPI_scaffold_114, whole genome shotgun sequence.
UCCGGUGACAAUAGCGGAGGGGAAACACCCGUUCCCAUCCCGAACACGGCAGUUAAGCCCUCCAGCGCCGAUGAUACUUGGGUCGAGGACCCUGGGAAAGUAGGACGUUGCCGGAU